UUUUUUCCGUAGGUGAAGCGCGGAGGGAUCGUC
rnacentral:rRNA from 1 species